rnacentral:rRNA from 1 species
GACGAACGCUGGCGGCGCGCCUAACACAUGCAAGUCGAACGAGAGAGAGGAAGCUUGCUUCCUCGAUCGAGUGGCGAACGGGUGAGUAACGCGUGAGGAACCUGCCUCAAAGAGGGGGACAACAGUUGGAAACGACUGCUAAUACCGCAUAAGCCCACGGCUCGGCAUCGAGCAGAGGGAAAAGGAGCAAUCCGCUUUGAGAUGGCCUCGCGUCCGAUUAGCUAGUUGGUGAGGUAAUGGCCCACCAAGGCGACGAUCGGCAGCCGGACUGAGAGGUUGAACGGCCACAUUGGGACUGAGACACGGCCCAGACUCCUACGGGAGGCAGCAGUGUGGAAUAUUGCACAAUGGGGGAAACCCUGAUGCAGCGACGCCGCGUGGAGGAAGAAGGUCUUCGGAUUGUAAACUCCUGUUGUUGAGGAAGAUAAUGACGGU